rnacentral:rRNA from 1 species
UGCCAGCAGCCGCGGUAAUACGGAGGGUGCAAGCGUUGUCCGGAUUUAUUGGGUUUAAAGGGUGCGUAGGUGGUUUUUUAAGUCAGUGGUGAAAGCCUACAGCUCAACUGUAGAGGUGCCAUUGAAACUGAAGAACUUGAGUAUGGACGAGGUAGGCGGAAUUUGUGGUGUAGCGGUGAAAUGCAUAGAUACCACAAAGAACACCAAUAGCGAAGGCAGCUUACUGGACCAUAACUGACACUGAGGCACGAAAGCGUGGGUAGCGAACAGGAUUAGAUA